rnacentral:rRNA from 1 species
AACGAACGCUGGCGGCGUGCUUAACACAUGCAAGUCGAACGAGAAAAUCCUGGCUUGCCAGGAUGAGUAAAGUGGCGCACGGGUGAGUAACACGUGAGUAAUCUGCCCCUAAGUCAGGAAUAACAUUGCGAAAGCGAUGCUAAUACCUGGUAAGCCCACGACUUCUUCGGUAGAUGUGGGAAAAGGUGGCCUCUGACAUAAGCUAUCACUUAGGGAUGAGCUCGCGGACCAUUAGCUUGUUGGUAGGGUAAUGGCCUACCAAGGCGAUGAUGGUUAGCUGGCCUGAGAGGGUGGCCAGCCACACUGGAACUGAGACACGGUCCAGACUCCUACGGGAGGCAGCAGUGGGGAAUCUUGCGCAAUGGGGGAAACCCUGACGCAGCAACGCCGCGUGAGUGACGAAGGCCUUCGGGUCGUAAAGCUCUGUCAGAUGGAAAGAAUUAGUUCGCUGAAAAUAUUGGCGAGUGAUGACGGUACCAUCAGAGGAAGCACCGGCUAACUCCGUGCCAGCAGCCGCCGUAAAAC